UGCAUGUCUCUGGUGAUUUGAACUUUGAGAUGAGCGGACUUGAAGAAGGCGCCUACAAGGCCAUGUAUUCUCUUCUGUAAGCUACCAUUGAUGAGCAAAAUGGAGGAUUUUCCCAUCAACUCUGUGAGAGAUUUCGGGUUUCAGGGCGGUCUGAGUAAGCACAGGAAAUGAAGUCGAGGGUUUCUCCGAGAAAAGGCCAUCCAAGGUUGCCUAAAGGAAGUGGGGUUUUGUACUUUGAUGAUCUGAUGUUCCUGUUCUUGUACAGGAUUAUGGAAGACAACAAGAUUGCUAAUACAAUCCACAAUAAAUUGUCCAUUAUAGAUGCUUCUCUCUCUUUUCUCUUGCUUUCUCUUAAAUGUGAUUAAUCAUGGUGACUAUAGGAUGAUGAUGACAUUAUUUAAGAUGUAAAAAUAUAUGCAUGUGUAAGUGCACGCGUGUGGUAUAGAGAGAGAGAGAGAGAGAAUAUAUGAGCUCAAGGUUGAAGAAGAUAAUAUUUUGUGUUGGGAGAUGUAUAUAAGUUAUUACUAUGUAGUUUUGUCUUUGAAGUUUCAUAUGCAUAUGAACACAUACAUGCAUAAGACAUAAUUGGGUCGGGUUGGGUCGGAUCGGAAAAACCUGACCCAAACUAAACCUUUUAGUAAAUUCAUUGCUCUGUGUGGAUUGAUGAGAUCAGUAACUUUGUAUUAAUAAUUGAGGUGAGAUUAAUGAUAGUCAUUAUUGUUUA